CAGGGAGCAUGAGCAGCAAUCUGAUGCCUAAUGAGCCCAAUUUAUCAUGGCGAAGUCGGCUUCUAGGCACGGCAGUAGAUGUAGAUUUUGACUCGGGAAGUCCGUAUGCCAGUGUUUCACUAAGUGAUGCAGAUGGCUCAAGUUUGACGGAUUGGGGCGCGAAUUUGGACCUGGAUAUUGGUGCUGAUUAAUCACAUCCACCCUAUAAUAUGAGAUGCGUGAGAAAUCUUACAUGGAUUACAAUUAAUCUGCAAUUUGCGUGUAUUUUAAUUUAACUUUGCAAGUCAAAUUAAAGUUCAGUCAAUGAUAUAAUGUAAUAAUGAUGAAUGUAAUGAAAUAAAUCUUGU